rnacentral:rRNA from 1 species
GUGCCAGCAGCCGCGGUAAUACGGAGGGUGCGAGCGUUGUCCGGAAUCACUGGGCGUAAAGGGCGCGUAGGCGGUCUGGAUAAGCGCGGGGUGAAAGUCCGGGGCUCAACCCCGGAUCGGCCUGGCGGACUGUCCGACUGGAGCACAGUAGAGGCGGGUGGAAUUCCGGGUGUAGCGGUGGAAUGCGUAGAGAUCCGGAAGAACACCGGUGGCGAAGGCGGCCCGCUGGGCUGUGGCUGACGCUGAGGCGCGACAGCGUGGGGAGCAAACAGGAUUAGAAACCCCCGUAGUCC